rnacentral:rRNA from 1 species
AACGUACGCUGGCGGCACGCCUAACACAUGCAAGUCGAACGAAGUAGCAAUACUUAGUGGCAGACGGGUGAGUAACAUGUAGGUAUCUGCCCUUUGGCCUGGAAUAACACGAGGAAACUUGUGCUAAUACCGGAUAAGUCUUUACGGAGAAAGCUUUAUGCACCAUUGGAUGAGCCUGCACUUGAUUAGUUUGUUGGUGGGGUAAUGGCCUACCAAGACUGUGAUCAAUAGCUGAUUUGAGAGGAUGAUCAGCCACAUUGGGACUGAGACACGGCCCAAACUCCUACGGGAGGCAGCAGUGGGGAAUCUUGCACAAUGGAGGAAACUCUGAUGCAGCGAUGCCGCGUGAGUGAAGAAGGCCCUUGGGUUGUAAAGCUCUUUCGUCGGGGAAGAAAAUGACUGUACCCGAAUAAGAAGGUCCGGCUAACUUCGUGCCAGCAGCCGCGGUAAUACGAAGGGACCUAGCGUAGUUCGGAAUUACUGGGCUUAAAGAGUUCGUAGGUGGUUGAAAAAGUUAGUGGUGAAAUCCCAGAGCUUAACUCUGGAACUGCCAUUAAAACUUUUCAGCUAGAGUAUGAUAGAGGAAAGCAGAAUUUCUAGUGUAGAGGUGAAAUUCGUAGAUAUUAGAAAGAAUACCAAUUGCGAAGGCAGCUUUCUGGAUCAUUACUGACACUGAGGAACGAAAGCAUGGGUAGCGAAGAGGAUUAGAUACCCUCGUAGUCCAUGCCGUAAACGAUGUGUGUUAGACGUUGGAAAUUUAUUUUCAGUGUCGCAGGGAAACCGAUAAACACACCGCCUGGGGAGUACGACCGCAAGGUUAAAACUCAAAUGAAUUGACGGGGACCCGCACAAGUAGUGGAGCAUGUGGUUUAAUUCGAAGAUACGCGCAGAACCUUACCAACACUUGACAUGUUCGUCGCGACUCUAAGAGAUUAGAGUUUUCGGUUCGGCCGGACGAAACACAGGUGCUGCGUGGCUGUCGUCAGCUCGUGUCGUGAGAUGUUGGGUUAAGUCCCGCAACGAGCGCAACCCUCACUUUUAGUUGCCAUCAUUAAGUUGGGCACUCUGAAAGAACUGCCAGUGAUAAGCUGGAGGAAGGUGGGGAUGACGUCAAGUCCUCAUGGCCCUUACGUGUUGGGCUACACACGUGCUACAAUGGUAUCUACAACAGGAAGCAAGACUGCGAAGUUAAGCAAAUCCCUAAAAGAUACCUCAGUUCGGAUUGCACUCUGCAACUCGAGUGCAUGAAGCUGGAAUUACUAGUAAUCGUGGAUCAGCGUGCCACGGUGAAAUGCGUUCCCGGGUCU